AUGCCUUUGUGACAUCCAGCUAAAUAUUAAGUUGUCCCAGAUUCUGCUCACUUUCCUUUUCUCCAUUCUACUUCUUUUUUUUUUUUUUUUUUUUUUUUUUCUUCCCAUCAAAGAUGGUGUUACAUCUCCUGAGUCAUCCUUUUCUGUGUUCUGGAAGUCUGGUCACAAGCCUGGAGCAGCUUUCACCACCUUAUCAGACAAAGUAGAGCAAUGGGAAGGUGUCAGAGCCAUUUCCAAGUGCUCACUGUCAUGGAAAGGAUUUGUCAGCCAUGGUGAAGAGCUUCAACCCAUCGGAUUCCGAGUCACGCAUGAUAACUUCACUGCAAGGAAACCACAAAGCAGGAAAAGAAUUGAUUUACAGAGAGAAGGAAACAGACCAGGAGGCAGAGUGGAAAGGACAAGAAGAGGACUAUCCCAUGUGUGUCAAAUUGCAUUCAUCAUAGGUCAUGAUUGA
rnacentral:lncRNA from 1 species